GUUCGACGGUUCCUAGCAGUUCGUAUAUUGCCGUUCGGGAGUUUGGAGCCGUUCGUGGAUUUCGAUCGGGAGAUUGUCGCUUCCCCUGCAUUUGGUUCGUGGGUUACAGAGUAAGCGAACAGAGACUGUACUGCAGCCGGGGAAGGUUUACUAAACGGCGGUUUGGCUUAAAGACACGGGAGGUGUCUUAACAAUUGGUGGCAAGCGACGGGAUGAAUCCUAUAGCAUUGGAGGUCAGCUACGAGACAUGCAGUACGAGGAAUUAAGGCGUGCUACACUUAAGGACAUAUUGGAACGCCGAGGAAGGUCAGCAAGCAAUUUAAAGAAACGGGAGAUUAUUGCUUUGCUAAUGGAGAUGGAU